GGCUGUCCGUGAGACCAGUCGGCGAUCGGUUUGUCUGCUGUGGCAUUUAAUGGAGGAAUGUUCGAUUCGCGGUAUGGUUGGCUUCGGCUGAACAGACGCUUAUUGGACGUUCUUCCUGCUGUGGCGGUAUGAACUGGUGAACCGUAGUCAUACGUUGACUUGGCUUUUGAAUCGGCUUUGCUGUUGCGAAGUAGAGUGACAGUUUCGGCUGUCGAGAGUCGACCGAUUUGGGAAAUUGUGCCAUGCGACUUCGGUUGCGUAGCAUCUCAACUCGACCUGAUAUCAG
rnacentral:rRNA from 1 species